GCUAGGUGUCCUGGGUCAAAGGAAAAGAAUUGUCCAUACAACACACAAUGGAUUGUCCUCAAGACAAAGGAAACCAUGUGUGUGAACAUGUUAAAAACGGUAUCCUGACUUCUAUGAGCUCUCAAUGAAAGAGGGACACAUGCCUCCAAGUAGCUGUGUGGCUGUAGAGCCCUUUCACAAACUAAAAUGAGGUCUGGAAGAGAGGAAAAAAAAUGGAACCAGAGCUGAAGACUGAACCCAGGGCCUCGUGCUUGCUAGGCAAGUGCUCUACCACUGAACUAAAUCUCCACCCCCACAA